rnacentral:misc_RNA from 1 species
AAGUCGUAACAAGGUUUCCGUAGGUGAACCUGCGGAAGGAUCAUUAUCACAAAUGAUUUUUAACUCUCUUAAUCCAGAGUUAAACCUCUUCUUAAACCAAUCUAAUUAAAAUGUGAAAUCGUUUUAUUUUUUUUUAAGAACUUGGCAACAAGCCUUAAAAAAAAAUUAUUAACCAAUUGAACCCUUUUCUAAUUAAUGUUAUUUUAUUUAUUUAGUUCUGAAAUCUAUUAUAUAUCAAUAUGUAAUAAUAUUGACAUGUAAUAAGUUACAUUACGAAACAAUUUAAAUAAAACAACUCUUAGCAACGGAUAUCUUGGUUCUC